ACACUCAGAGACCUGCAGCCUGAUAACUGCCUGGUGCAGCUGGGACUUGGAGACCUAUCUGCAGUGCUCAACUGGAGCCUUCUGACUGGAGACCGAAGAGGAUGACUGUUCAGACUCCGUCCACUCUCCAGAAUCUGGCAUUGCAGGCUCUGCUGAGAGAUGAGGCUUUGGCCUUGUUCUGUCUGGAGGAGGUGCCUUUUCUGCUCUUCCCAGCUCUGUUCAAGGAGGCCUUUGCUGGCAGACUUAAGAAGCUCAUGAAGGCAAUCGUGGCAGCCUGGACUUUUCCCUGUCUCCCUGUGGGGGCUUUGAUGAAGUCACCUAACUUGGAGACCUUGCAGGCUGUGCUAGAUGGAAUAGACAUGCAACUGACAAGAGAAUCUCACCCCAGGGGAAAACUUCAGGUUCUGGACCUGAGGAAUGUGCACCAUGCCUUCUGGGACAUAUGGGCUGGUGCAGAGGAUGGUAGCUGUUCUUCAGAGUCCUUGAAUGAGAAGCCUACAGUAGUGAAGGUCCUUCGCAGAUAUGCACGGAGGAAGCAGCUGAAAGUGGUAGCAGACCUGUGCCUCAGGCCCCGCCGUGAUGAAACACAAGCAUACUUCUUGAAGUGGGCCCAGCAGAGAAAGGACUCCCUACAUUUGUGCUGUAUAAACAUGAAGAUCUGGGCUAUGCCCGUGGACUUUGUCUUAGAGAUUUUGAAUGUCUUUCAUCCAGAGCACAUCGAGGAAUUCGAACUGAACACUGAGUGGAAUGUGUUUAAUCUGGCCCGUUUUGCUCCCUGCUUAGGGCAGAUGAGAAAUCUUCGCAAACUUCUCCUGGCACCCCUCUAUAAGAAUGUCUUCAAGAUUGCCAAUAGGACAGGAGACAGAGAAGAUAAGUGUGUCAAGGAGUUCGUUUCUAUCUUCUCCAAAUUCAAUUGUCUCCAGCAUCUCUCCAUGCAAGGUGUCCACUUUCUCACAGACCACAUGAGUCAGGUCUUCAGGUGCUUGAUGACACCCUUGGAGUCCCUCUCCAUCACUCACUACCAAAUUUCACAGUCAGACUUGGAUUCCUUCUCUUGCUGUCAGAGUCUCUUUCAGCUAAAACAUCUGGAGAUGAAAGGCAUGGUCUUACAGGUUUUGGAUGUGAUGCCUCUGAGAGGUCUCUUAGAGAAAGUGGCAAAAACUCUUGAGACUCUGAAUUUGCAGGGAUGUAAGCUGAAGGACUCUCAGCUCAAUGCACUCCUACCUUCCUUCAUACGAUGCUCUCAGCUCACCAAGAUCAACUUGUACAACAAUGACUUCUCCAUGCCCAUCCUGAAGGACCUUUUACAGCAAACAGCCAACUGAAAGAAGAUGAAUGUGGAACAGUACCCUGCCCCUCUGGAGUGUUAUAAUGAGUUGGGACAUGUCUCUGUAGAAAGAUUUGCCCAACUUUGUCAGGAACUCAUGGAUACACUAAGGGCAAUAAGGCAGCCCAAGAGCCUCUCUUUUGCUACACGUAUAUGCCACAAAUGUGGCGAGCCCUGUGUCUAUGGUCAGGGGGGUAGACUUUGUUUUUGCUGGCGGUGAACAUGGAUUCAGAACUUCUGCAUGUGAAUAAAUGACAGUCUUGAGACACAUCUCUCAUCUGGGGUGCUCAGAGACUGACUUCAGGCAAUGUACAGAUACUUGGAAAGGAAAGGAUGUACAAUAAUUGGGAUUUUGGAGGCUAAGCUUGACAUGGGGAGCAGACUUGUGGACUGGCAAAGGCAACUUGGAUGUUUUGAGUGGACUCUGCUGGGACAGAUUAACUAGAUCCUUUGUCAUGGACUUGUAAACUUUUUGUUCUUCACUGUAAUAUAUAAUUGAAUAAAUAGAACAUGGGUGCUUU